rnacentral:lncRNA from 1 species
CUGUCAUGUACCAUGUGGCACUUGUACCAAAUCCAUGGGUCUUUCUUUACACCAAAUUCUGUAGUUUGUUUUUCCAUGAAACACUUUUCCAAUCCUAUAAAAUUUAGUUCUGCCUACGCCCUUACAAUGUAUUACUUGACACUGCAGCUGAUGUCACCUGUACAGUCACUGAGCAUGCUUCCUAUUUCAUCCAAAACAAACAAGUAAAUGCAGAACGAACUCCUGUGAAGCCACUUUUGGUAUCUUCUGCCAUCUCCCAAUGAGUCAUGAGUAACUACAUCUCUUCCAACCAUUUUGCAUCCAUGUCAAGCAGACCAUAUUUUUAGUGCACCUACUUUUUGAUAAAUACAUUACAUGGCCUGGACCAAAACCUUAAAAAAAAAAAAAAAGGGCAAGUUGCAUUACAUGUUUUUUUUCCUUUUUGUAUUAUGAGAGAUUAGGAAGCCAGUUUUAAUAAGGGAUUUUUAGCAGUUUUAAUAAGGAAUUUUUCAAAAUACUUAGCCUUAUUUUUAAAUUGUAAGUUAAUUCCUUCAUGUUUCUAUGCUUAGUCAAUAACAAAUACACAAGAAAAAAGCCUCAUAAACCAUCAUAACUGCAUUGUAAGGAAUAUUCAUACUGUAAGGGUGUAUUAAUUCCAUUUCACGCUGCUGUGAAGAAAUACCUGAGACUGGGUAAUUUAUAAAGGAAAGAGAUUUAAUUGACUCACAGUUCCACAGGGCUGAGGGGGCCUCAGGAAACUUACAAUCAUGGCAGAAGGGGAAGUAAAUAUGUCCUUCUUCACAUGGUGGCAGGAAGGAGAAGUGCUGAACAAAAGGAGGAAAGCCCCUUGUAGAAGCAUCAGAUCUUGUGAGAACUCACUCACUAUCACGAGAACAGUAUGGAGGUCACCGCCCCCAUGAUUCAAUUACCUCCUACCAGGUUCCUCCUUGCUAGGAUUAUGAGGACUAUGGGAACUACCAUUCAAGAUGAGAUUUGGGUGAGGACACAGCCAAACCAUAUCAAAAGGCAGUUGCCUAAGAUGAUGUGAAAUCACCAGUGAUUAAGACUUGAUCCAUCUUCAAUUUUCAAAGCAGAAACCAGAAAUCAUUUUCCAUUGAGCCACUCUGACUUUUCAAAAGACAUUUGUCAGAAAUCCAGUUUGCCCUGCUAACUCCCAAGUAGAAAAAUCUAAGUUUAGGUCAUGUAAGGAUGUUUAUACAUUUGUACAAUUGGAGGAAUUAAUAAAAAAUCUAAUUCCAUUUUGAUUAGAUCAGUUCUCUGGGUGAGUGGAGAUAGCUGUUCCAAGUCCAUGGAUCCGAUUAUGCUCCUGAAGGGAUUAAAAUCUUAGAUACAGGAGAGAUAAAGAGAGGGUUGCUAAAAGUGUGCAAAAUUAAAGUUUGGAAUCCUAUCCGAGAACCCAAGUAUGAAUAAUAUUCUAGCACUCUACUAAAGGAAACAAACUUCUGUGCAUUCUUUUGUCUCUAAAGAUAGAAAGUAUUUCUGAAUUUGAAAGUAAUCCAGCUUUUGGUAUUCUUAUAAAAACAUUACAAAAAUGAUAGUAACAACUAACUGCAUUUUUGUGGAUCUGCUCAUUUCAGACGAAAGUAGGCGGUACGAACCCUAAUGGAGGCAGUUUUGAGGAGGUCCUCAGCUCCACGGCCCAUGCCAGUGCCCAGAGCUUGGCAGGAGGCUCCCGGCGGACCAAGGAGGAGGAGCUGCAGUGCUAAGUCCAGCCAGCGUGCAGCUGCAUCCAGAAACCGGCCACUACCCAGCCCAUCUCUGCCUGUGCUUAUCCAGAUAAGAAGACCAAAAUCCCGCUGGGAAAAACCCAGGCCUUGACAUUGUUAUUCAAAUGGCCCCUCCAGAAAGUUUAAUGAUUUCCAUUUGUAUUUGUGUUGAUGAUGGACCACUUGACCAUCACAUUUCAGUAUUCAUAGAUGACUGUCACAUUUUAAAAUGUUCCCACUUGAGCAGGUACACAACUGGUCAUAAUUCCUGUCUGUGUAAUUCGAUGUAUAUUUUUCCAAACAUGUAGCUAUUGUUUGCUUUGAUUUUUGCUUGGCCUCCUUUAUGAUGUGCAUGUCCUUGAAGGCUGAAUGAACAGUCCCUUUCAGUUCAGCAGAUCAACAGGAUGGAGCUCUUCAUGACUGUCUCCAGCAAUAGGAUGAUUUACUAUAAAUUUCAUCCAACUACUUGUGAUCUCUCUCACCUACAUCAAUUAUGUAUGUUAAUUUCAGCAAUUAAAAGAAUUGAUUUUAAUG